UGGGGGAUAUUGCACAAUGGGCGAAAGCCUGAUGCAGCGACGCCGCGUGGGGGAUGAAGGCUUUCGGGUUGUAAACCUCUUUCGCUAUCGAACAAGGCCCGCUUAGGGUGGGUUGAGGGUAGGUGGAGAAGAAGCGCCGGCUAACUACGUGCCAGCAGCCGCGGUAAUACGUAGGGCGCGAGCGUUGUCCGGAAUUAUUGGGCGUAAAGGGCUUGUAGGCGGCUUGGUGCGCCUGCUGUGAAAACGCGGGGCUUAACUUCGCGCGUGCAGUGGGUACGGGCAGGCUUGAGUGUGGUAGGGGUGACUGGAAUUCCAGGUGUAGCGGUGGAAUGCGCAGAUAUCUGGAGGAGCACCGAUGGCGAAGGCAGGUCACUGGGCCAUUACUGACGCUGAGGAGCGAAAGCAUGGGUAGCGAACAGG
rnacentral:rRNA from 1 species